GCGUCCGGUAGUGCAACGGUUUAGCACGCGCUCCCGGAAAGAGUGAGAUCUGAGUUCGAAUCCUAGCUGACACG